GAAAAUAAAUAUACCUUCAAAUCGCGCCGUGAGCGUGUCAAGGGUUGUGUUAUCGUCGUACCCGAGAGGGAGGGAGAGGGCGAGGGAGAGAGGAGAGAGAGAGAGGGUAACCUCCGGCGAAUCCAUGGCCUUAGAGGACGACGAUCUCAUCUUCCUUCGACGACGGCGACCCCUUCCCCUCGUCAUCCAUCAUCUCCAGCUGCUUUGGUACAAACCCUUGUUGGCACUUGAUCGGCCGACUCCAGUACUCGGACAACGAGGUCCCUCCGACUCUGAGGAUCCCUCAAUUCCGAUUCGUGAUUUGAAGUGGGGCAUAAGGCUGUUCUAGUCUGUUAAAGUUAACGAUAAGGCUAGAUCACUCAAGUCCUUGAUGUGAAAUGGGGAGGGGAUCACCAGCUCGUGAUGAGGAAAAGGUUCUAGAUGAUAAUUCUCCUAAAUCAUCUGCACUAUAAGUCCCUCCACUACUCCCCAACUCCGGCAGCUCCUCUACCUAUUUUUGCUGUUGACCUGACUAAAGAACUCCAAGGAAAUGUGAGAAGAUUGCCUGCUGGAAGGAUUAUUAACCCACUGUUACAAGCAUUGCAAGGGACAGAAUAUAGCCAGACGAGGAAUAGCAUUGCUUGCUCAGCUUGGGUCAUUUCUUGUCAAGUGGAUCACGUUAUGGGAUAGCUUUGCACAUAUAAAACUAAAUGCAAAAAGUAUUGUAUUGUAUUAUAUUGGUACAUAUUUUACCGAAACUGAUAUAUGAGUAACCAUAUCAAAGAGAUAGAUAUGGCUUGGCAGUGCAGGGUGGCUACUGUCAGUCUUGAAUCAACUUUUAUCACUAUUGGAAAGCCCAACAGUAACAUUGCACGGUUGGAAGAUUUUACCAUUGACCUUUAUCCAAUGUUGUAUUAUCCAAUCCUUCUCACUUGUUUUGCUAGGAUUUGUGAAUUUGUCAUGAGAUAUGUGCUUGCGUUACUGUACUGCUUGGAAUUAUAGAGCACUUGCCCUUACCUUGAGUUAGUUAAAGUUUUUGGUGUGAAGUUAGUGUAUUGAGAAGCAAGAAACUAAAUGGGAAAAUGCAUAAAACUUAACAUAAAUGGAUGUUUCACAAGCAUUUUUAAUAUGAUAUUAGAGUUCAAUAUUCGUAGGCAAGCAAAGAUGUCAAUUUAUACCAGCGAUUAGUUGGAAUUAUAGCAAAUUCCAAGGUUGUAUUUAUGUUCAUAUUUGGAUUUUUUGUAGUUUUCAUACAGACUCUGAGUAGUUGGGUCCUAUUGAUACAAACAGGUGUGUACUAGGAAUUGCAAGGUGGAGAAGCAGUCAUUUUGCCACAGUUAACCCAUAUUAUUUACCCACUGAGGACACGGUGAGUGUCAGGACAGUAAAAUUUGAGUUAAUUAUGGCACCUCUAGGAUAGAAGGGUUUUAGCUAGAAAGACAAUUUAAUGCAUCUGUUUUUUACCAAAAUUAACGUAGAAAAUGAAAUUUUGUGAUUAUGUUUUGGAUCUAGGGUUGGUUACAGAGGAAAUGUUAGAAUCAAUAAAAAUUCGGAAAGAAAUGUAAAAACAUUCUUAGGCCAAACAUGUUGAAAAUAAUAGAUUAUGCUUUGGAAGUCAUUAGUCAACUUAGUAUUUACUAUUUUACGAGUUAGUUAUUUCUGAACUUGCUAGUCUGCAACAAAACUUUAUGUAGUAAACAGGACUGAGUUUACUUAUAACACCUAAGAUAGAGAAGACAAUUAUUGAUUAUUUUGCUGGUGGGCCUACAAAUUUGGUUUCAUGCAAGCAAAACACUUCUCUCAGCAAAUAGGAUAUUUAGUUUCAUGCAUUUCAAAUAGUAUAUUAUUCUGUUUUUUUUUUCAUUUUUGAACUUAUUGAAUGGCAUUUACUAUUAGAUUGGUUGGUUUUUUUCUUUUUUCUUUUUUUCUAUUUAGUACAUUUACCAUCAGCAGUGUAGCCUCCGGCUUUAUAAAAAUCGGGCCCCAUGGUGCUGCAAACCAAUAGAGCUAUCAACAGAAAAAUCAACCAAAGUCAGGCUUCUGAGUAAAAGGUUUAGCUGUUGGUUUAUGUGGCAUGUUGAGUCCUGAUGUUCUAGAGGCAGGAUUUCUGGAGGGCUGGGGGCUGGGGUCUGCAAUAAGUUAAUUUUGAAGUAAUCUCCGUAGUAGCUGAUAGGUAGAGGGAGUCUACUUUGGCCUAUUUAUCGUCUCAUGUGCAGGGGUUGUCUUUGGCAGCUGUAUUUUUCUCCUUUGCUCUGGAUGGUUUAUUCACUCUGUCCUAUCAUCGGUAUCGGAUUUAGCUUUUGUUUAUGGAUCUCUAUUGGGAAGGUCUUCUUGCUGAAGUCCCUUGUUAUUUCUACUGUAUCGUAAACUGUGUUCUCUGUGCCUUGGCUUUGGGUUUCAUUUGUGCUGGUUGGACGCUUAAUCAGUGUUUUCUGGCUUUUACUUUUCUUUGAUGGCAUUCCCUUUUCAUAUGCUUGGUUGUGGUUUCUUCAAAGCUUACCAUCUUAAUCAGGAACGAAGACAUGCCGGUUUCUAAUUGCUUUGUGUGGAUUGGAGUGUAUAUCAAGUUGGUCUUCUUUAUGCUGCUUGUUUCCACAGGUUGGCUUGCUUUAAGUGGGAAUCUAUUUGCCUGGGUUUGGUAUAUUUAAGUUAAUGUCAUUUUUGUUGGGAGUUGUAAUCUUGUGGAAUGUUCAAUUCCAAGGUGCUGGGUUUUUUUUUGUUGUGGUUUGAAUUUUUUGGGAUCAUUAUUUGGAUUUUUCUUGCUUGAUUUGCUUUGGUGGACCAAGAAUUCUACUUGGUGGUUUUAUAUAAGUGACGUUAGUAGGCUUCAUCUUUUCUUGGAGCUGUCUCCCUUUAGUAUCGGAAGUUCCUUCUUGUGUUGGCUGAUUUGUGCAUGGUGUUACUUAAGAACUACCUAGAGUAUGUGGAAUGCAAGACCUAACCUAAGAAUAAUUUAGAACAUACAAUACUCAAGAAUAAUCUAGAAUAACUAUAAGACUCCAGAAUAGUCCGGGGAACCUAGAAUACCCUUGAUCCUUCCAGAACCUAGAAUGCCCCAAAUCAUUUCAGAACAAAUUAUAGGACCCUUCAGAUUUCCAAGUUAAACCCUGAAUACUGUCGAAGACGCUAGGGAAGUAUAGAAUAUUCUAAGAAAGCUCUCAGUCUAGGCUCCUGCACGGCAUCCAUAAUUGGUAGGGUGUGACACAUUGCUUAUCCCAGCCAUAUUGAUGUACGAUUGGCAUGAUGUGUGUAGUGUUUAUUUACUUAUCAGUUUUGAUUUGUGCAAAUAAAAUCACUUAUAUACUUGCACUUACCUAACCAAAACACGCAUGCGCACGCACACACACUUGUAGGUUGCAUUGGUUUUGCAUAUUUUGGCUGUUGACAUGUGUAACCUUCUUGGCUGUUCCAUGUGUGUGGCCUUCUUUUCUGCACUUGGUUCUUUACAUAAAAACCUGAUUGCCCUUUGUCCAAUUGUUUUGCACGGAUUGUUUUGAAUUUUCUCAUUAUCAGAUCAUUCACACUCUUGUAUUGUUGAGACCUCAAGGUUCAACCGGGCAGGUUGCUCGAAUGUGCUUUUUAGAAAGUCCAGAUGCUUGUGUGAUUCGGAGAAUACUUGUAGGACCACUAGUUGCUGGUGGUCCUUUACAGGUGGCCUCCUUUCUUUAUAGGGCGGGAAAGGAUUGCCCUUGCAACCACAGUUUCAUCUCACUUUUCCUUAUUUUCUUACUUUUUCAUAUCUAAUUUUCCUUAUGGCCACGUGAGGGAAGAGGAAGGGAAAUGAAUUGUUGGCUAUUUACAAAAUGAACCUGUCUUGUUAUCCUCAUUCAUAAAUUAGUAAAGUAUCUGUACUGGGAUGUGCCAUUUGGCAGACAAAUUGUGAUUUGAUAUUUUGCUGACCGUUUUAUUUAUAUUAGGGUAAUAUUAGAACUAAAUAUUGGCCGUUUAGUGAAGAUGUAAGUUUAUAGUCAUGAACUAGUUGGAAUUAUAGCAAAUUCCAAGGUUGUGUUUAGAUUUUUUGUAGUUUUCGUGCAGACUGUUUGAUCAUUUGAUUCCUAUUGACACAAACAGAUGUUUUCUAGGGAUUGUAAGGCAGAGAAGUUGUGGUCAUUCAUAUUUACACUGAUGAAUGAUGACACAAAGAGGAUAUCUAGACAGUAAAGUUUGAGCUAAUAUGAUUUUUAAGGAGAUGAGGGUUUUAGCGAGGAAGACAAUUUAAUGCACUUUUUCUAUCAAAAUUAACACAGCAUGAAAUUUUGGGAUUUUGUUUUGAGUCUAGGUUUGUUAGCAAGGGAAGGUGAGAAUCAGUAAGUGUUUGGAAAGAAACAGGACAUUCUAUUCCAAACAUUUUGAAACUAAUUAAGUUAUGCUUUGCAUGUCAUUAAUCUAUGAAGUAUUUACCAUGUUAUGAAUAGCCAUAUUUAAACUUGCCAAUCUGCUGCAAAACUCACUCACUAAUAAAUCUCUUUUCUUAUCUGGUGGGGAUAGAAUGGAAUAGUGUGCUGCUACGGUAAGUCAAAAGAGGAAAGUUUCCUUGUAACACCUGAGAUAGAGAAGGCAAUUUUUUUUUUUUUAUUAUUUAGCCCUUUUUUUUUUAGCUUGUGGGCCUACAAGUCUAGUUUCAUGCUUUUAAAACAGUGCCCUUCUAUAUGUAAAUACGAUAUUAUAACAAUAUGCCAAUAAAUGAUUAGGCAACAACGUGUUUCCUUCUGAAGUCAGUUCUUUUGAAUUGUCUAUAUUUUUGUCUAUUUAAAACUUAUAACUAAACCAAACUUCUCUGAUGUUUUGUCUAUAUUAAUUAGGAUAUUACGGGGAAGAUUGUCCUCUUUACCAUGCCAGGGCCUCAAGCUGUUUGCAUCAUUCCUGCUACAGGUUUAAUUUCAAAUGCUACACUACAGCUUGAUUCUUCUAGGGGUACAUUGACCUAUGACGUGUGGCUCCUUAUGUAUCCUAAAAAUUUCAUUUCUUAUGUUACUUGAUUUAACUUUAGUGAUUGUUGCUUUUGAAUGCUGAACAUAUUUUGAGACCUUUGCUAGAAACUUUAGUCCUGUUCUUUCGUGGCAGUUUGAGAUAUGUUUACUUACCAUUGAUGAAAUUUAUGUGUGGUAUCUAUGCAGUUUCUUUCCUUAAUAUCUGAGAGCCAGCAAGCCCCAUGUAGCAAAAUUUUCACCGGAAGUUUUGAAGCAGAAUGUACAUUGUGUGUAAGCUUUUGGUUUUUGUCCAAUCAGGUUACAUCCUUUUAGCUAUAGCAUCUGAAAUAGGUGUGUGACUGCUGGGGUGAGAUUUUUAAGACCUUUAUUUGUAGCUCACAAGGACACUGAAAUUGCUGGAUAUCUAAUUUUCCUUAACUUUUAUACUUGGAGAUUAAUUUAAAGGCCUAGACAAGAAGCGGACCGAAUGACAUGAUUACUUUA